UGCACUGCUUGGUGGCAGCAUGCUCUCCUGCCAGCAUAGUACCUGACAGCCUCUGCAGAGGACAGUCCAGCUCAAGCAGAGUGAGGAAGGCCUUUCCAGGUCACUGUUCAGUCCAUCUCCAGGGCUACGUACUUGCUGGACCAGUCUGGAUUGUUGAUUCAGAUCUAAGAUGACAUAUGUAAACUGAAUUUGGCUGUUGAAACAUGGCCUUGCAGAUCACUAAAAUCAUUCCAGCCCUGAUUACAGCUGCUUCUUGUAAUAUUUCAUAAAGUGACUGCCAGUCCUCCCAUGUGAAUGUAAAG